rnacentral:misc_RNA from 1 species
GACUUCUUCAUAGUGGCAACUCCAUUCAAAACUAGAGAAUCAAGAAAUUAUAAAACUAGGUAGGAAUCAUGGUCUUAAGUUUUCUAAUCAAGAGAGAAUACUUGCUGAUAAGCUGGUAAGUGCCAAAUAAUUAAGGCAGGGUGUUGAUUUAACUUACAAAAGGAAUGUGAAGAGAAGUAAGACUCGUAGAAGAAGUUGAUCGAUGACAUUGCCCUCCUUCAUCACAAUUCCAUAUAUGAAGUUACUCAAUGAAUCCCCAUCCUGAAGUUAAGAAGCAGAAUCAGGACAUCCUAACUGGAGGAAAAAGAGAGAAAAAAAAUUAUAACGAGCCAGAAAUAAAUUCUUGCAACAGAAAUUAAAGUAAUGAAAUUACUAGAUAUUGUCAUGGUUGCAAACCAAUUGUUCAACAUCUAUGAACAACAGUUUUGAGAUUUAAGAGAGAAUAUUUCAAGAUAUCUGUCAACCUGCAACAUCAAUGUAAAAAAACACAUGAGAAUCCAGCUUCCUAGACAGGAAAAAAAAAUUAUGUUUAUUGAAG